AUUCGUCUCUCAUAACUUGUAUUCAAGCUCAAUGAUUACUUGAGAAGGGAUGUGCAAUGCAUCUAACUUACAUAGUGGAGAAUAAAAGUGAAGUUAAUCUACGAUAGAUACCCAUAGUGAAGGAAUUUUUCAAUAUUUUUCUAGAAGAUCUCUCAAGUCUACCUUCAAAUCGAGAGAUCGAGUUCUCUAUUGACUUAAUCCUUAAUACGAGCGCUAUUUCUAAGGAUUUAUAUUGAAUGGUAAAAGCCAAAUUAUAGGAGUUCAAGAAACAACUGUAAAAGUUAUUAGACAAAGGCUUCAUCAGACUAAACAUAUCACCAUGGAGAAUAAUAGUACUAUUUGUAAAGAAGAAU
rnacentral:lncRNA from 1 species